ensembl:lncRNA
UCUGCUGCUUGGACAAGCCGGCCACAACGGUGGAGCGUCGUUGCUAUUUGUUCUCAGCCCUGCUUUGGCUUUGUUGCCAUGACCAGGACAUGACAGUCUGAGAAGACUGAUUCCUCCAAGAAGUGGAGAAGCCUCCAUGCCAGUGAGCAAUGUGUAUUUGAUCCAAGUGCUGUCUCCCAGAGAGCAGAGAAGACACAGAGCUGCACAAUCAUUCCCACAGCACUGAGGGUCAAACACUCCUUCUCACAGCUGAGCUGAGCAGACCCAGGCUGAGCCAGCUCAUCCCGCUCGAAACUCCGACUAAAAACAUCAUCUAAAAACAGCUCCUCGUGCUGGUGCCCAGAGGGGAGGAGCAGAACCCAGCGGGCACAGACGGAGCUUCAAUAAAUAGCGGAGCCUACAGGACCGGGAGGGGAUGGGAAGGAUGUCACAAUGACAGCAGCAGCUCUGCACAGGUUGGGAUGCAGGAUGUGCAGCUGCCAUGCACCCGGUGCACCCUGCACAUGGCUGUGGUGAGGUCACAGCUCCCCUGCAGCCUGGCCGGCUCUUGGAGCUGGUAAUGAAUGCUACAAGAGUAUCGUGGUUUUCUUAUUACCAAUUAAAUGAGCUUUCCCGGGGUUGAAAACCAAUCAUUUUUCUUUCAAAGCUUCAUGUAUCAGAUAGACACAGCAUUAAAAAAAAACACAACACAG